rnacentral:rRNA from 1 species
UUCCAGACUCCUACGGGAGGCAGCAGUGGGGAAUAUUGCACAAUGGGGGGAACCCUGAUGCAGCGACGCCGCGUGGGUGAAGGAGUACUUCGGUACGUAAAGCCCUAUCAGCAGGAAAGAAAAUGACGGUACCUGACUAAGAAGCCCCGGCUAACUACGUGCCAGCAGCCGCGGUAAUACGUAGGGGGCAAGCGUUAUCCGGAUUUACUGGGUGUAAAGGGAGCGUAGACGGACUUGCAAGUCUGAUGUGAAAAUCCGGGGCCCAACCCCGGAACUGCAUUGGAAACUGUCAGGCUGGAGUGCAGGAGAGGUAAGUGGAAUUCCUAGUGUAGCGGUGAAAUGCGUAGAUAUUAGGAGGAACACCAGUGGCGAAGGCGGCUUACUGGACUGUAACUGACGUUGAGGCUCGAAAGCGUGGGGAGCAAACAGGAUUAGAUACCCGGGUAC